AGGGGUGUAGCUCAGUUGGUAGAGCAUCGGUCUCCAAAACCGAGGGUCGUGGGUUCGAGUCCCCCCGCCCCUGCCA
rnacentral:tRNA from 4 species